rnacentral:rRNA from 1 species
AACGAACGCUGGCGGCAGGCUUAACACAUGCAAGUCGAACGCAUCCUUCGGGGUGAGUGGCAGACGGGUGAGUAACGCGUGGGAACGUGCCCUUCAGUUCGGGAUAACCCAGGGAAACCUGGGCUAAUACCGGAUACGUGCGAGAGCAGGAAGAUUUAUCGCUGAAGGAUCGGCCCGCGUCUGAUUAGCUAGUUGGUGGGGUAAUGGCCCACCAAGGCGACGAUCAGUAGCGGGUCUGAGAGGAUGAUCAGCCACAUUGGGACUGAGACACGGCCCAAACUCCUACGGGAGGCAGCAGUGGGGAAUAUUGGACAAUGGGCGCAAGCCUGAUCCAGCCAUGCCGCGUGAGUGGUGAAGGCCUUAGGGUUGUAAAGCUCUUUCGUCCGGGACGAUAAUGACGGUACCGGAAGAAGAAGCCCCGGCUAACUUCGUGCCAGCCGCCGCGGUAA